rnacentral:lncRNA from 1 species
GCCCGCCCUCGCUCUCCAUUGACAAACUAUGCAGACACAGAUCAAGUGUUAGCUCCAUUGUACAGAUGCGAAAACCGGCACCGGGGCAGGCUGCACAUUUAAAGGAAAUCUCGUAACAGGAUCCCUCUUUUCUGCUCUAGGUUUGAUUUGGCCAGUUGACCUCUAAAUAUGAGCCGCUGGCAGCCUUAUCUCCAUCUCCUUAAUGGUUGAGGCAGGGAGUAAACUACGAUUAAAAAAUUCUUGCCCAUAGAGGUGGUGCACCUGUGUGGCUCAGGAGGCUGAGGCAGGAGGAUCACAAAUUCAGGGCCAGUCUUAGCAACAUAGCAAGACCCUGUCUCAAAAAUAAAAAUAAAUAAACGGGACUGAGGAUGUAGCGCAGUAGUAAAGCACCUCUGGGUACAAUCCCCAGCAAACAAAAUAAAUAAAUAUAAAAAAUUAAAAAUCCUCCUUAACCCAGCAAGCUCAGCUACUCUGGGGAUGAGGCAGGGUUGGUAGAGCCCAAAAGUUCAGAGCAGCCUGGGCAACAUAGUAAGACACCUUAUCAAGGAAAAAAGGAAAAUCCCCUUUCCUGUUGAGUUGUUCAUAGCCAUUGUCCCAAUAAUAUUAAUUGGACAAUAUGGAGGGUGUCUUGGAGACCUUUGUCACAAGUGAGAUAUUCUGGGAGAGGCAGGUAUUGCUACAAAAAUUGAUUAUCCUGUCUGAGGGAAAAAACAAGAUCAACAAAUCAAUGCCCAUUUUUUAACUUCCCAGGCUAUGAAACCAGUUGUUUUAUUGCUGGUUGGUUAGAGUGCCCCCCUGUGUCUCCUUAAUAAAAUAUCAUGUAAGAAAUUCCAAAGGACAAUGAAAUUUUAAUAGUAGCAUUCAAAUGUAUAUCAUCAACUCCUGUUCUCCAUACUUCCCAGAAAACCCACAAGGAGAUCUAGGAGCCUUCUACAUGAAGGAAUUUUCAACUGAGGAGUCUUGGUGGAAACUUCAGUUGUGUUUUAGCCAAAAUUGCAAGGUCAGGACUACCAUGGUAAGAACUCUAGUCACUUCCUUUUGGCAACCCAUCUUCUAAAAGGCUCUUCCUAUGUUAUGGCUGUGAAUCUCCCUUGUAUGGAAAGAGCCCACUUUGCACUACAGAAGCUAAAAACCAAACCCUCACCUCCCCAACCUCCCUUACAGCUGGUUCCCAAUUUAAACUCAGGCAAUAGCGGGCAGCCAGGUCUGCUCCUCUGGCUUGAUAGUUUGGGGGCACUGCUCUCUGCUUCAGUGAGUCCUCCAAGCCUGGGUCUUCUGUCCUGCAGAGACUCCAAAUGCCACCUAAUAUUUUAUUAAUGAGUUCAUCUUUAGCAUUAACUCUCCAGAAACCACUUGUAUUGCUUACAACUAAAUAAAUAAAUAAAUAAAUAAAUAAUAAAAAUUAAAAACUGACUUAAUCAUCAGAUGUUUAUUGAGCAGCCAUCCAGAAGAAACACUGGAUUUGAAUGCCCCAAGGCAUUUGUUAAUCUCAUGGGCUCUAAACCUUGAAAGCCAUCUUUAUGUCAUUCUCUAAUGUUUAUCUCCAGCUUAAACCCCUCUCCCUAAACUGCAGACGUGAUAAUGAUCUUAGUUACCAAAAAGGAUCUCAAACAUGCUACAUUCUAAACUGAGUCCCCAACUUGUCCCUCCAAAGCUACUCCUGCCUCAAUCUUCCCAAUCUUAAUAAGUGGCAAAUUAAUCCUCCUAGACAUUCCAGCCAACAACUGACAUCAGAUUUUACUUCUCCCAUUUUUUUCUUAUCCCAAAUCCAAAAUCCAACAAAUCCCAGUGGUUCCUCCUUCAAGACUAGUCCAGAAUCUGAACACCUCCACAGCGUCCACCCCAGUCCAACCCCAGCAUAUGUCACCUGAUAUAAACCAGCUGACAUACCCUCCAGUGUCACCUCAUCUCAUUCAUAGUCCCUGACUCAGCAAAACCUCCGCUUCACCUCUCUGACAUGAAUGCACCCUACUCUCCCCCAACUCAGAUCCCUCCUACACCCCACAUGUUCCCACUGCAGGCCUUCUAUGCUAUUUCCUCUAUUGAUCACUCAGAUACUAACAUGUGGCCCACUCUCUCAUUCGUUCAGGUCUUUGCUCAAGUGUCAGUGUCUCCAUGGAGGUUCCCUGAACACCAGAUUUAAAGUUGCAAACCCCCACUCUCAGCACUGUUUCCAGCCCGUUAAUUUUCUCUAUAACACUUACCGCCCUCUGACACACUCUAUAGCUUAACUAUUGUUUACAGUGUGCCUUCCCCCACUAAGAUAAGGGGAAUUUUUGUCUAUUUUGAUCAUUGUUGUAUUCCCAGCACCAGGACUUAAUAUAUAUUUGUUAAAUAAAUGCAUGAUAAAUUUUCAAACUCUAAAUUUUCUCAGAGCCCCCAAAAAGUAUCAAAAUUCUUUUUUUAUAAUAAUCCAGAAUAAAACCGAUACCAAAAAGAAACAAAAAAUAAAUUUAAAAGAAACUAAUGCCAAACUACCAAACUAAUAUUGACAAGAUUGAAAUAAAGCUGUCCCUCUCCUCGGACUAUACCCAAAGGACUUGAAAACAGCAUACUACAGGGACACAGCCACAUCAAUGUUUAUAGCAGCAUAAUUCACGAUAGCUGUGGAACCAACAUAGUUGCCCUUCAAUAGAUGAAUGGAUAAAAAAAAGUGGUAUAUACACACAAUGGAAUAUUACUCAGCAUAAAAGAAAAUAAAAUCAUGGCAUUUGCAGGUAAAUGAUGGAGUUGGAGAAGAUAAUGCUAAGUGAGGUUAGCCAAUCCCAAAAAAACAAAUGCCUAAUGUUUUCUUUGUUAUAAGGAGGCUGAUUCAUAGUGGGAUAGGGAGUGGGAGCAUGGGAGAAAUAGAUGAACUCUAGAUAGGGCAGAGGGGUUAGAGAGGAAGGGAGGGGACAUGGGGUAAUUAAUGAUGUAGAAUGUGAUGAUCAUUAUUAUCCAAAGUACAGGUAUAAAGACACGAAUUGAUGUGAAUAUACUAUGUAUACAACCAGAUAUAUGAAAAAUUGUGCUCUAUAUAUGUAAUAAUAAUUGUAAUACAUUUUGCUGUCAUAUAUAAAUAAAAAAAUUAAAUUAAAAAGAAGAAAACUAUAAACCA